GAUGUUUGUUGAGUAAAAUUCACCAUUUUCUGUCUCUGUUUAUAAGUUAAAGAAGUUACCAAGUCUCUUGGUUGAGUUCCCUCACCAUGAGUUUAAGACUGAUAGACCUCUACUUGAUUUAUUUGGCUAAUUGACAUGUCUUAGGUCAUUGGAUUUGAGCAUGUCUAUUAACUGGGGUAAUUCAGUCAGUAAACUUCCGAAACAGGUAGGACAACUGAUACAUUUGAAAUUUCUUGACUUGUCAUGGAAUUUAGACUUAACAGAAUUUUCUGAAUCUUUGUGUCAUUUAUGCAAUUUUCAAAUUCUGAAUAUUCAUUGGUGUUGUGAUCUUAAAAAACUUCCUCAUGGGAUGGGAACACUAAUCAACUUGAGGCAUUUAGAUAACAUGAGAACUGAUAAGCUAACAUUUUUUCCCAAAGGGUUGAGAAGAUUAACUUCUCUUCGUAAGAGCUGGUGGUGAGAGAGAAUAGUAAUGAUGAUGAAGCUAUGACUCUAGGGGAUCUGCAAUAACUAAACAACCUUCGGGACACUCUCCACAUAAGGGGAUUAGGAAACGUGAAGGAUGUCCAAGAGGCUACUAAUGCUCAACUUCUAAAUAAGAAACAUCUUCAUGACUUGGAGCUUACAUUUGAUGGACUGAUAACAGACAUAGAGAGAACUGAUCAUCUUCUUCUUGAAGCCCUUCAACCACCUUUAGACUUGGAAUUUUUAAAAAUUGAUGGAUAUAGAGGGCCAACUAUGUAUCCAAGUUGGUUAAUGCAACUGGCAAGGCUAAGGGAGCUUAAACUUCACUCCUUUAUAAAUAUUGAGCAGUUGCCUCCACUUGGAAUCCUGCCAGCUCUUCAAGUGCUCGAUUUUAGAGGCAUAUCUAAAGUGAAAAAAGUGGGCCUUGAGUUUUUAGGAAUGGGGAGUCUUGCAUUUUCUUCUUCUUCUACUGCCUUCCCUCAACUCCAAGAUCUUAACUUUGAUUGCAUGGAAAAUUGGGAAGAGUGGGAUUAUGAAAUCACAAUAGGAACUGUUUAUCAUAGUAUUAGUAGUACAAGUACCUGCACAUUUAUGGUAAUGCCACGCCUCAGUUCUUUGAGCAUUUCGUGCUGUGACAAGUUGAAGGACUACUACAAGAUUUGCCAGGAUUUAAUAAAAGUCACUACUACAUAACUCUUGAUGGAUCUAUUUUCUGCAACUGUAGUAGUUAUUGAUUCAGAGAGCAUAUGAUGAAAGCAUUCAAUCUAGAAAAGAAUGAUGAACUACUCAGAACUGAGAACAGGGAUAUAAUAUAUAUGUAUAGUAUUUCUGUGGCUAUCUUUUGUAACCAUUAUUUGCUGCUAGUGUGGAGUGAAUGGAGCAUAUUCUAAAGUGGAAGAAAAUCAUAUUUGUCUAAUAAUGCAAAUUUUGUUUAGCCAGUUUGGCCCAUAAUAGUUGUAAGUACUUUAUUUGCAACUCUUUGAAAUUUUAGUGUGAUGAUUAGAGCCCCUAAUCCCUUGAUUGACAUGA